GGCAGUGUGACCUAAUGGAAAGGCCAUGGGCCUAGGAGUCAGAGGACCUGGAUUCUAAUCCCAGCUCUGCCA
rnacentral:tRNA from 1 species